GACGAACGCUGGCGGCGUGCCUAAUACAUGCAAGUAGGACGCAGUUGCGAACGGGUGAGUAACGCGUAGGUAACUACCUAUUAGAGGGGGAUAACUAUUGGAAACGAUAGCUCAUACCGCAUACUAGUAGAUGGACCUGCGUUGUAUUAGCUAGUAGGUGGGGUAAUGGCCGACCUAGGCAACGAUACAGAGCCGAACUGUGAGGGAGAGUCGCACAGCGGGGACUGAGAACAGGCGCAGACACCUACGGCAGUCAGCAGUAGGGAAUCUGCGGCAAUGGGGGGAACACUGACCGAGCAACGCCGACUGAGUGAAGAAGUUUUUCGGAUCGUAAAGCUCUGUUGUUAAGGAAGCGUUACUUAACCAGAAAGGGACGGCUAACUACGUGCCAGCAGCCGCGGUAAUAC
rnacentral:rRNA from 1 species